AGUAACUGCGAGUGAAGCGGGAAAAGCUCAAAUUUAAAAUCUGUCAGUCUUUGGCUGUCCGAGUUGUAAUCUAGAGAAGUGUUAUCCGCGCUGGACCGUGUACAAGUCUCCUGGAAUGGAGCGUCAUAGAGGGUGAGAAUCCCGUCUUUGACACGGACUGCCAGGGCUUUGUGAUGCGCUCUCAAAGAGUCGAGUUGUUUGGGAAUGCAGCUCAAAAUGGGUGGUAAAUUCCAUCUAAAGCUAAAUAUUGGCGAGAGACCGAUAGCGAACAAGUACCGUGAGGGAAAGAUGAAAAGAACUUUGGAAAGAGAGUUAAACAGUACGUGAAAUUGCUGAAAGGGAAACGCUUGAAGUCAGUCGCGUUGUCCAGGGAUCAACCUUGCUUUUGCUUGGUGUACUUUCUGGUUGACGGGUCAGCAUCAAUUUUGACUAUUGGAAAAAGAUCAGGGGAAUGUGGCAUCCUUUGGAUGUGUUAUAGCCUUUGGUUGUAUACAAUAGUUGGGAUUGAGGAACUCAGCACGCCGCAAGGCCGGGUUUUUAACCACGUACGUGCUUAGGAUGCUGGCAUAAUGGCUUUAAUCGACCCGUCUUGAAACACGGACCAAGGAGUCUAACAUGCCUGCGAGUGUUUGGGUGGAAAACCCGAGCGCGUAAUGAAAGUGAAAGUUGAGAUCCCUGUCGUGGGGAGCAUCGACGCCCGGACCAGACCUUCUGUGACGGCUCCGCGGUAGAGCAUGUAUGUUGGGACCCGAAAGAUGGUGAACUAUGCCUGAAUAGGGUGAAGCCAGAGGAAACUCUGGUGGAGGCUCGUAGCGAUUCUGACGUGCAAAUCGAUCGUCAAAUUUGGGUAUAGGGGCGAAAGACUAAUCGAACCAUCUAGUAGCUGGUUCCUG
rnacentral:rRNA from 1 species